UUAUAUAAUCAGACCUGCACUUUAGGAAAAUCGUUUUGUUUUUCUUUCAGAUGAGUGGAGGAUGGACUAACAUGGGUAGAGAUGAGAAAGGAGGUCAACCAGGUGUCUAUUACAACAGUUGGGACAGGAAGUGAUGGGGACUUGUACCAGGAUAACAGUUACUUGAAGGGAAAGAAAAAGACAUAUGCAAGAAUGAUCGAAAAGGUCCCCUGCCACAUGGAGGCUGAAGGAAAGAACACCCCAGUUUUUACCAGUUGGUUUGUGAAUCUGAAGACACAGAGGCAGCAACUAGCAGCCUGGCACCUGGGGCUGGGGCUGGAUGAGAGAUUGGGUCUGGCCAGGGCCAGAUUCUCUUUCUCUCCUGAUUCUCCCAUCUUCUUGAAAAGCUGUCUCCACUGAUUGUGUGGUUCAUCCCAAGUAUCUCCAUUUUAAGGAGGGUGUCCAGGUCACCUCUGACUUCAUUACUCUCCAGGAUCUACUCCUGACUCUGCAAAAGUAUUAUUCUUCUUUUAUGUGGUGGAAAUGAAGAGUGAUUGAAUAAGUGUCAGGGACUCUUUCCUCAUCUCUUUAAUACAACUGAAUAUUGUCAGCUCUCUCAUAUUUGUCAGGGAGGAGUACCCAUAGACUUCAAAGGAUGAAGGACAGAAAACACAAAAGAGAUGAAAAGUCCACAAGUCCAGUGCAAUUUGGAUAAAUAUGGUCUGAAACAUGCUAGUGGAAAGGAAAAAUGUUUGAGAAAUUAAAGGAAAAAGGAAAAUAAAGAAAAUAAAGAAAAUAAAGAAAUAAAGAGA
rnacentral:lncRNA from 1 species